GGAAGAGGAGGGAGACAUUGCCAGUUAAUCUCACUGCACUAGAUGUUACUGAGCGUGCAAUGGUUAUGAUGUGUCAAUAACGGUCAGUAAUGGGUGGUAAAACUGAGACCUUGCCUGUGACGUUCUAAUCAGACCAAUAAUUAAGAACUUGGGUUACAUGUCAUGAGUUGUUCUAAAAAAAAUAAUAACUUGGGUGGAAAAUAGGACAAAAAUACACAAACGAUGCUGUUAAAUAUAAUCAGCCUAGAUCAACGGUUUUCACUUGAUGAUAAGCCAUAGCUAAAAAUAAUUGUUACAUUGAGAUCCAGGACACACCUAUACAUACAGAACUGAAAAAUAAGUUUCACAAAACAAUACUUUGCUUGACUACAUAAACUACACCAUUAAAUACUCUUACUCUAUUCCACUUUUCAUUUUUAAAAAUUUAUUUCACAACUUGUUAAUGAGCUAAACUCAGAGUUCGAAAAAUUCUUGUCUAGGUGAGUGCAGAGGUUCCCUCCAGCUCUGGCAUAUUAUGAUGAUACAUGAAUAAAUUUGAAAUGUGGCAUGAUUUCCUCAGGCACAGAGUCUACUCUCAGCAUUGACACAAGAGUGUCACACUUCAAUAUAUUUUUAUUCAACCUAUGGUGAAUGUUAAACGUAAACACCUCAACAGAGAAAACGGACCACAUUUUGAUGGGAACCAUACAAAAAAUGACACUGCAGGAGGUUCUGAAACUUUUUGCCUGGGAAUGAUUCCUGGUCCUGUUACUUACUAGCUGUGUGCCCCCAGACAUGUUACUUAACAUCUCUGAGCGUCAAUAUCUUGGUCUCUAAAAUAGGGAUCAUACUAGGAACUUCACAUAGGCUUGGGGGAGUUGAAUCAGUUAAUACUUGCAAAGUGAUUCAAUAAUCCUGGCACAUAGUAAACUCUUAAUAUAUAUUAACUAUUGUGGUAGAUUAAUUGUUAUUCAGCAAACAUUAUACUUCCCCCACCUUGGCCCCCUCUGUUGAUGUUGGGCUUGGUCCUGUGACUUGCUUUCACCAAUGGAGUAUGGCAGAAGUGACUGUGUGCCUGUUCCAAGCCAAGACUUUUAAAGACAUUGUGUGUUUCUGCUUGCUACCUCCAGCUCAUGCCACAGGAAGAAAAUGCUGUAGGUAGCUCACAGGUCCAAGAAGAAGGGCGCUAGACCUAAACAGAACUCAUGACCAGGAGCCAAGACAGCUAAACUCAGCCUCGUUCAGCCAAGCCCCAACGAAUCCUGCAGAUGUCCUCUAAAUUCCUAUAACGUUGCCUGGAUUUUUUUCUCUUGUACAAUGAACUGGCUUCCCCUAGGAGUCAACAAGUCCCUUUUUUCCUCCUGAAAGGGUAAUCUUCAUUCUCUCUCCUACGGAUGCCCAAGGGGCCAUCACUCCUGUGAUGAAAUGAGGACUGGACUGAAGAUGUUCUGCUGAGCACCCUAAAAUCCCAAAAUGAUGGAUCACUAUCCAGCCAAUAGUGUGAUAAGGACAGUCAUCCAUCCAUUAAUCCACCCAUCCACCCAUCCAUCCAUCCAUCCAUUUACCCAUCCAUCUAUCCAUCCAUCUAUCCAU